rnacentral:rRNA from 1 species
UACGUAGGGUGCGAGCGUUAAUCGGAAUUACUGGGCGUAAAGCGUGCGCAGGCGGUUCGUUGUGUCGGUGGUGAAAGCCCCGGGCUUAACCUGGGAAUGGCCAUGGAAACUGGCGAACUGGAGUGUGGCAGAGGGGGGUGGAAUUCCGCGUGUAGCAGUGAGAUGCGUAGAGAUGCGGAGGAACACCGAUGGCGAAGGCAGCCCCCUGGGCCAAUACUGACGCUCAGGCACGAAAGCGUGGGGAGCAAACAGG